rnacentral:ncRNA from 1 species
AGUCGAUGGCCGGGGUGCCCGCAGGGCUGAGAACACACCCGCCGAACCUGAUCCGGGUCAUGCCGGCGAGAGGGAGCCACUGAUGCUCGAAC